CUAUGCGCCUUGCCCAGCCCGCUCAGGUGUGCCAGCCGCGCGGUAAUACGGAGGGUGCAAGCGUUAAUCGGAAUUACUGGCGUAAAGCGCACGCAGGCGGUUUGUUAAGUCAGAUGUGAAAUCCCCGGGCUCAACCUGGGAACUGCAUCUGAUACUGGCAAGCUUGAGUCUCGUAGAGGGGGGUAGAAUUCCAGGUGUAGCGGUGAAAUGCGUAGAGAUCUGGAGGAAUACCGGUGGCGAAGGCGGCCCCCUGGACGAAGACUGACGCUCAGUGCGAAAGCGUGGGAGCAAACAGG
rnacentral:rRNA from 1 species